UCACUCGCAAAUCCACGAGAUUCACAUAUUACAAAGAGUCAUCGGGUUCGUAACGGUACUUUUUGUAAUAUGUGAAUUUUUACAUCUGUGAAGAAUUGCAUAUUGUUACAUUUAUUUUUUGGAGGUUUUCUUAAUGAAACAAGGUACAGUAAAAUGGUUUAACUCAGAAAAAGGUUUUGGAUUUAUCGAAGUUGACGGCGAAAACGACGUUUUCGUACACUUCUCAGCUAUCCAAGGCGACGGUUUCAAAACACUUGACGAAGGUCAAAAAGUGGAAUUCGAAGUUGUAGAAGGCAACCGCGGACCACAAGCUGCUAACGUAACAAAACUUUAAUCCUCGGAUUAAGGCAAACACUUAGUUGAAACUAACUAAAGAACGACGCUCUCGUAGCGUCGUUCUUUUU
rnacentral:sRNA from 1 species